GACGAACGCUGGCGGCGUGCUUAACACAUGCAAGUCGAACGAUGAAGCCGGAGCUUGCUCUGGUGAAUUAGUGGCGAACGGGUGAGUAACACGUGAGUAACCUGCCCUUGACUCUGGGAUAACUGCUAGAAAUGGUAGCUAAUACCGGAUACGACCCUCGGAGGCAUCUCCAGGGGGUGGAAAGAAUUUCGGUCAAGGAUGGACUCGCGGCCUAUCAGCUAGUUGGUGAGGUAAUGGCUCACCAAGGCGACGACGGGUAGCCGGCCUGAGAGGGUGACCGGCCACACUGGGACUGAGACACUGCCCAGACUCCUACGGGAGGCAGCAGUGGGGAAUAUUGCACAAUGGGCGCAAGCCUGAUGCAGCAACGCCGCGUGAGGGAUGACGGCCUUCGGGUUGUAAACCUCUUUUAGUAGGGAAGAAACGAAAGUGACGGUACCUGCAGAAAAAGCACCGGCUAACUACGUGCCAGCCGCCGCGGUAA
rnacentral:rRNA from 1 species